UACGAAGGGUGCAAGCGUUACUCGGAAUUACUGGGCGUAAAGCGUGCGUAGGUGGUUUUUUAAGUCCGUUGUGAAAGCCCUGGGCUCAACCUGGGAAUGGCAGUGGAUACUGGAAAGCUAGAGUGCGGUAGAGGGUAGUGGAAUUCCCGGUGUAGCAGUGAAAUGCGUAGAGAUCGGGAGGAACACCAGUGGCGAAGGCGGCUACCUGGACCAGCACUGACACUGAGGCACGAAGGUCAGGGGAGCAAACGGG
rnacentral:rRNA from 1 species